UAGCAUUUCUCUUUGAUCUUCAAAGAACUAUCACUUCGGACACUCAAAGACCCGUUCUCUUAUCAAUACACGCUAUUUUGUCACAGAGUCCAACAGAGCCCCGGGAGAUCCUUCAACAGGCAGCUCCAUUUAUCAGAAUUCUCAUACAGCCAUGCAAGGAUUAAAGCAACAGAAUAACUUAAAAGACUGAAGACCUGAAAGGGAAAAGUAGAGAACACAGAACCCCAUCAAGACACACUACUUUGCAUCUGAAAUAUCUAGAAUGUUUUCUUCUUGAAACAUAAAUGAUCUAAGAUUAAUGCUUGCAUUAUAAUCUAUCAGUAGCCCAGUCUCUUCCCCUGGUCAUCAUUACUUCCCCUUGGAUGACAAAGAUACUAAAAGUCUUCGUGCAUUUAUUAUUUUACUUCCCAACUAAGCAUAAAUUUAAAUCUACUUUCAACUCCAAGUGGGAUUCCUACUUGAUAAGGAUAACAUAUACAAUCAGUAAACAAACACUCAAAAGUGUUUUCUGUACUGGAAUAACAAAUGAAACAACAUGCACAAGAAACCAAAUUCUCUUUUCUGUCUUUUGAACCAGCAAAUCAGGGGAAAGCGCGAACGCAGUCCCCCACUACCACAAAUUAUGCAGUCGAGUUUCCCGCAUUUGGGGAAAUCGCAGGGGUCAGCACACCCGGAGUGCAAUGGAUGAGCCUCACCCUGGGAAAACCACCUUCAUGAUCAUGGUGUCUCCCCUGCCAGGCCAUCAUUUGCAUGUCUAUCUGCGUCCUUUUGCAAUCGUCACUCCUCUGGCAUGUAAGCUGGCUUUCUAUUGGUGCUCCUGGAGGGCAAGGAGGGACCGUCGAGAUCUCUUGACGUGCUCCGAUUCGGCAGAGAACUUCACUUCCUCUUCUUCCCUCUGGAACAAAAUUGGUUGUACAAAUCGCAAGUUAAACAAAUGUCACUUUUGAAAUAUUUUACUUCUAUUCACUGCUCAGUGAAUUUUUUAAUCAACACAAUAUUGUGCAACACAAUCAUUUGCUUAGUUGGUUUCUUCUCCAAGAAAGAAGGAACUGUUGCUAUUAACAACUUCUGCUGGGUUUUCUAUUUUUUUAAACUGCAGACUGAGUCUGACAAAAAGUAUUUGGUGAGAAUUUAUGCACACCUUCUUAUUCUUCCUUUUUUGCUCCAGUUCUCCAAUUUCCCUAGCUGCUGAAAAAUUAUGCAAAGGUUCUUGAGGCAUGAAAUUACAGAGACUAGCUCUUUCACAAAUCUUUAGGAAAACUAGGCAGACAUUGCAGGGAAGGAACUAUCACCAUCUUAAGGUUCCAUCACUUUUCCAUGCAACUCGUGAAACACACAAUAAACAAGAAAUUAUAGAUACAACUUCUCUGUCUUUUGAACCAGCAAAUCAGGGGAAAGCGCGAACGCAGUCCCCCACUACCACAAAUUAUGCAGUCGAGUUUCCCGCAUUUGGGGAAAUCGCAGGGGUCAGCACACCCGGAGUGCAAUGGAUGAGCCUCACCCUGGGAAAACCACCUUCGUGACCAUGGUGUCUCCCCUGCCAGGUAAGUAUGAGUUGGGAGGGCCCGGCUGCCUCCCUGCCCCUCCUCGCCUCUGCCCCCAACCCCACGGUGACCGUAGCUCGGCACCUUCCAGUCCUGCAGAACAGACAUAAUCAUGAUGUAAUCAUAGAGCAGACUCUUGCUGAUUGGGAUCCAAGAAGGAAAUCCCUCUCCUGCCCCCAUUCUCCUCCUCCUCCCCAUUUGCUACCACAAUGCUGUGUUGCAGAUCAUCUGCAUAUAUCCCUACCCACUUUAGCCUUGCUUAGUCUUCUAUCUGAGUCGCCUUUCAGCAUGAACAAUGCCUCUGUCCAGGGAGGUCUUAUAAUAUCCUUUAUGUUUUAAGCGUCUGAAUGCAUUUUUUAAAGGUCUGGGUGGAAACGAUGACCUGCUUGCACAUUUCAAGGCUUUUAUAUUUUAUGUUUUGGUGAAAAUUUUCCUGCUGUAUCAAAAGCUCCAGUCCAUACUGAGGCCAGCUUGUUGUUGUUGUUGUUGUUAAUUGCGAAGUCGUGUCCGACCCAUCGCGACCCCAUGGACAACAUUCCUCCAGGUCUUCCUGUCCUCUACCAUCUUCUGGAGUCCACUGCUUGAUGUUUUCACUGCACCCCCGAUUGACCCUCUCCUCUGAAACCUUUGGAGGCCAGACAAGAUCUCAGCGCUGUUUCUCAACUUUGGACAUUUUAAAUUGCACGAACUUUAACUCCCAGAGUUUAAGGCUGAUAAACACUGAGUGUCCAAAUUAUUAAAUUCAUAUGGUCAUUUUA